rnacentral:rRNA from 1 species
AUACGGAGGAUGCAAGCGUUAUCCGGAUUUAUUGGGUUUAAAGGGUGCGUAGGCGGGACUGUAAGUCAGGGGUGAAAUACUGCAGCUUAACUGUAGCAUUGCCUUUGUAACUGCCGUUCUUGAGUACAGUUGAGGUAGGCGGAAUGUGGUGUGUAGCGGUGAAAUGCAUAGAUAUACCACAGGACGCCGAUUGCGAAGGCAGCUUACUAAGCUGUUACUGACGCUGAGGCACGAAAGCGUGGGGAUCAAACAGGAUUAGAUACCCUGGUAGUCCACGCUGUAAACGAUGAUUACUGGUUGUUAGCGAUAUAUAGCUAGUGACUGAGCGAAAGCAUUAAGUAAUCCACCUGGGGAGUACGUCGGCAACGAUGAAACUCAAAGGAAUUGACGGGG